UACGGGGGGGGCAAGCGUUGUUCGGAAUUACUGGGCGUAAAGGGCCAGUAGGCGGCCAACUAAGUCGGAUGUGAAAUCCCCAGGCUUAACCUGGGAACUGCAUCCGAUACUGGAUGGCUUGAAUUCGGGAGAGGGAUGCAGAAUUCCAGGUGUAGCGGUGAAAUGCGUAGAUAUCUGGAGGAAUACCGGUGGCGAAGGCGGCAUCCUGGACCGACAUUGACGCUGAACGGCGAAAGCUAGGGGAGCAAAUGGG
rnacentral:rRNA from 1 species